AUUGAACGCUGGCGGCAGGCCUAACACAUGCAAGUCGAGCGGAUGAAGGGAGCUUGCUCCUGGAUUCAGCGGCGGACGGGUGAGUAAUGCCUAGGAAUCUGCCUGGUAGUGGGGGAUAACGUCCGGAAACGGGCGCUAAUACCGCAUACGUCCUGAGGGAGAAAGUGGGGGAUCUUCGGACCUCACGCUAUCAGAUGAGCCUAGGUCGGAUUAGCUAGUUGGUGGGGUAAAGGCCUACCAAGGCGACGAUCCGUAACUGGUCUGAGAGGAUGAUCAGUCACACUGGAACUGAGACACGGUCCAGACUCCUACGGGAGGCAGCAGUGGGGAAUAUUGGACAAUGGGCGAAAGCCUGAUCCAGACAUGCCGCGUGUGUGAAGAAGGUCUUCGGAUUUUAAAGCACUUUAAGUUGGGAGGAAGGGCAGUAAGUUAAUACCUUGCUGUUUUGACGUUACCAACAGAAUAAGCACCGGCUAACUUCGUG
rnacentral:rRNA from 1 species